rnacentral:rRNA from 1 species
GACGAACGCUGGCGGCGUGGAUUAGGCAUGCAAGUCGAACGGUAUCAUCCUUUCGGGGGUGAGAGAGUGGCGAACUGGUGAGUAACACGUAGGUUAUCUACCCUCAAGACGGGACAACCCAGGGAAACUUGGGCUAAUACCGGAUGUGAGCAACUUUUAGUUGUUUGAAAGGUGGCGUAAGCUGUCGCUUGGGGAUGAGCCUGCGUCCUAUUAGUUAGUUGGUGAGGUAACGGCUCACCUAGGCAAUGAUAGGUAGGCGGCCUUAACGGGUGGUCGCCCACACUGGGAUUGAGAUACGGCCCAGACUCCUACGGGAGGCAGCAGUCGAGAAUAGUCUACAAUGGUCGGAAGACUGAUAGUGCGACGCCGCGUGAACGAUGAAUCCCUUCGGGGUGUAAAGUUCUUUUAUAUGUGAGCAGUGCUUCUUAUAUUAACAGUAUGGGGAGAGAGAUAUUAGCAUAUGAAUAAGCAACGGCUAACUCCGUG